rnacentral:rRNA from 1 species
CCUACGGGGGGCAGCAGUGGGGAAUAUUGCACAAUGGGGGAAACCCUGAUGCAGCGACGCCGCGUGAAGGAAGAAGUAUUUCGGUACGUAAAGCUCUAUCAGCAGGGAAGAAAAUGACGGUACCUGACUAAGAAGCCCCGGCUAACUACGUGCCAGCAGCCGCGGUAAUACGUAGGGGGCAAGCGUUAUCCGGAUUUACUGGGUGUAAAGGGAGCGUAGACGGCAGCGCAAGUCUGGAGUGAAAUCCCAUGGCUUAACCAUGGAACUGCUUUGGAAACUGUGCAGCUAGAGUGCAGGAGAGGUAAGCGGAAUUCCUAGUGUAGCGGUGAAAUGCGUAGAUAUUAGGAGGAACACCAGUGGCGAAGGCGGCUUACUGGACUGUAACUGACGUUGAGGCUCGAAAGCGUGGGGAGCAAACAGGAUUAGAUACCCUGGUAGUC